CAUUUGCCAAGUAUGUUCCCGUUAAUCAAGAACGAAAGUUAGAGGUUCGAAGGCGAUCAGAUACCGNCCUAGUUCUAACCAUAAACGAUGCCAGCCAGCGAUCCGCCGAAGUUCCUCCGAUGACUCGGCGGGCAGCUUCCGGGAAACCAAAGCUUUUGGGUUCCGGGGGAAGUAUGGUUGCAAAGCUGAAACUUAAAGGAAUUGACGGAAGGGCACCACCAGGAGUGGAGCCUGCGGCUUAAUUUGACUCAACACGGGAAACCUCACCAGGCCCGGACACCGGAAGGAUUGACAGAUUGAGAGCUCUUUCUUGAUUCGGUGGGUGGUGGUGCAUGGCCGUUCUUAGUUGGUGGAGCGAUUUGUCUGGUUAAUUCCGGUAACGAACGAGACUCUAGCCUGCUAAAUAGACGAUUUCCGGUAUCCACAAUAGUGCUACCGGCGAAAUCAAUAUCUUCUUAGAGGGACAGGCGGCUUUCAGCCGCACGAAACUGAGCAAUAACAGGUCUGUGAUGCCCUUAGAUGUCCUGGGCCGCACGCGCGCUACACUGAAGGAAUCAGCGUGUCUACCCUGGCCGAAAGGCUCGGGCAACCCGUUGAACCUCCUUCGUGCUAGGGAUUGGGGCUUGCAAUUGUUCCCCAUGAACGAGGAAUUCCCAGUAAGCGCGAGUCAUAAGCUCGCGUUGAUUACGUCCCUGCCCUUUGUACACACCGCCCGUCGCUACUACCGAUUGAAUGAUUUAGUGAGGUCUUCGGACUGGUGCGCGGCGACCGCCUGCGCGGCCGCCGAUGCCACCGGGAAGAUGACCGAACUUGAUCAUUUAGAGGAAGUA
rnacentral:rRNA from 1 species